CCUACGGGAGGCAGCAGUGGGGAAUAUUGCACAAUGGGGGAAACCCUGAUGCAGCGACGCCGAGGGAGUGAAGAAGUAUUUCGGUAUGUAAAGCUCUAUCAGCAGGGAAGAAAAUGACGGUAACUGAUUAAGAAGCCCCGGCUAACUAAGUGCCAGCAGCCGCGGUAAUACGUAGGGGGCAAGCGUUAUCCGGAUUUACUGGGUGUAAAGGGAGCGUAGACGGCAGCACAAGUCUGGAGUGAAAUGCCGGGGCUUAACCCCGGCACUGCUUGGGACAAUGUGUAGCUAGAGUGCAGGAGAGGUAAGUGGAAUUCCUAGUGUAGCGGGUAAAUGCGUAUAUAGUAGGUGGAACACCAGUGGCGAAGGCGGCUUACUGGACUGUAACUGACGUUGAGGCUCGAAAGCGUGGGGAGCAAACAGGAUUAGAUACCCUAGUAGUC
rnacentral:rRNA from 1 species